rnacentral:rRNA from 1 species
CGCUCAGGUGCGAAAGCGUGGGGAGCAAACAGGAUUAGAUACCCUGGUAGUCCACGCCGUAAACGAUGUCGAUUUGGAGGUUGUGCCCUUGAGGCGUGGCUUCCGGAGCUAACGCGUUAAAUCGACCGCCUGGGGAGUACGGCCGCAAGGUUAAAACUCAAAUGAAUUGACGGGGGCCCGCACAAGCGGUGGAGCAUGUGGUUUAAUUCGAUGCAACGCGAAGAACCUUACCUGGUCUUGACAUCCACAGAACUUAGCAGAGAUGCUUUGGUGCCUUCGGGAACUGUGAGACAGGUGCUGCAUGGCUGUCGUCAGCUCGUGUUGUGAAAUGUUGGGUUAAGUCCCGCAACGAGCGCAACCCUUAUCCUUUGUUGCCAGCGGUCCGGCCGGGAACUCAAAGGAGACUGCCAGUGAUAAACUGGAGGAAGGUGGGGAUGACGUCAAGUCAUCAUGGCCCUUACGACCAGGGCUACACACGUGCUACAAUGGCAUAUACAAAGAGAAGCGACCUCGCGAGAGCAAGCGGACCUCAUAAAGUAUGUCGUAGUCCGGAUUGGAGUCUGCAACUCGACUCCAUGAAGUCGGAAUCGCUAGUAAUCGUAGAUCAGAAUGCUACGGUGAAUACGUUCCCGGGCCUUGUACACACCGCCCGUCACACCAUGGGAGUGGGUUGCAAAAGAAGUAGGUAGCUUAACCUUCGGGAGGGCGCUUACCACUUUGUGAUUCAUGACUGGGGUGAAGUCGUAACAAGGUAACCGUAGGGGAACCUGCGGUUGGAUCACCUCCUUACCUUAAAGAA